rnacentral:rRNA from 1 species
UACGUAGGGGGCAAGCGUUGUCCGGAUUUAUUGGGCGUAAAGAGCGUGUAGGCGGCCUGAAAGGUCAGCUGUGAAAACUCGAGGCUCAACCUCGAGACGUCGGUUGAAACCAUCUGGCUAGAGUCCGGAAGAGGAGUGUGGAAUUCCCGGUGUAGCGGUGAAAUGCGCAGAUAUCGGGAGGAACACCGGUGGCGAAGGCGGCAUCCUGGCCAUGUCCUGACGCUCAGGGGCGAAAGCGUGGGGAGCAAACCGG